UACGUGAGGGGCGAACGUUGUUCGGUGUCACUGGGCUUAAAGGGUGCGUAGGUGGUUGCGUAAGUAAGGUGUGAAAUCCCUCGGCUUACCCGGGGAAUUGCAUUUUAUACUGCGUGGCUUGAGGACUAAAGGGGAAAAGGGAACUCCAGGUGUAGAGGUGAAAUUCGUAGAUAUCGGGAGGAACACCAGCGGCGAAGGCGGAGACCUGGGCACAUACUGACGCUGAGGUGCGAAAGCGUGGGGAGCAAACAGG
rnacentral:rRNA from 1 species